rnacentral:lncRNA from 7 species
AUUAGUUAACUAAGUGCGCUCUUAUCGUGCCGUGGGGGGGUUGGGACGUGUUCUGAGGCCCACUCCAUGUUUGUCAAGGGCUUCUGAUAUCCUUGGAGAGCGCCCAUUAUGUGAGAGUCUGUGUGAUUAACAGCCCUGGUUGUCAACGGGAGCCUUUGGAGAGCCGUGCAUCGAGAGCCAUGCAGCUUGAGAAGGUUGCAAAGAGGCACAAAAUGCUGCCAGCAGCCCGUAGAUUGCAUUUGACAAUGGUCUGCUGAAGUAGUAUGCCUGGCUUGUUCAUUGGCAACUUUAAAGGCCCGAGGAGUUCUCUGAUGUCUGUGCAGCUGCUUUAACCUCAUCUUGCUUCAUUCUUGGAUUCACCUGAUAGCAUUUAAAGAAGAACCUGUUUGCCCUCUCAUCCGUGUGCUGUGCUGCAAGUACUUCUAAGAAAGGAAAAAUGAAUGCCAUCUCCUCAGUUCAUGUUUCAGCUGGAAUUCCUGAACAUUGGCCUGCCUUAAAUGAUUCCUGUGCUAGGCAGACAAGCAUGUGAGCCAGGCGGAUGCUUUGUAAGGCUUAUAGCAAGCCCUCCUUAUAAGUAAAGCUUAGAGUGCCUCCUGCACAUUGCUUUCUUUAUUUUGGUUAUUUGUAACAGCUGCCGAAGAGUUCUGUUAUCGCUGCAUGUGUGAGACUGGUAGGUUGCAGAUUGCUGUCUGACCACCGAUACUUGCACUGCCUGUGCUGCAGAUGUACGAUCCUCUGAUUGUUUACCCUUUUGCAUGAGGUUUACCUUUUGUUCACAGAAAGACAGAACCAUACUUAGAAAAAAUGGGAAACUUUAUAAAGGCGUCCAAAUAAAUGACCUGUUCUCAAAGCCCCCCUGUUAGCAGCAGUUGCAGCUGACUGUCCCUACUCUGAAAUAAAGGAGUUGUGCCU